rnacentral:misc_RNA from 1 species
CCCUUGUGGAGGAGGACGCCGAAGGUGGGGCUAAUGACUGGGGUGAAGUCGUAACAAGGUAGCCGUACCGGAAGGUGCGGCUGGAUCACCUCCUAACAGGGAGACAACAAAAUGUUUAAUAUUAUUAUUUUGUCACCUUAGGUCGAUCGGUAUCUCACGUUUUUAAUUUAUUAAGAAUUUCAAUUCCUAAGUUUUUCUAGGUCACACCCAUUAUUUUUCCUGGGCCAUUAGCUCAGGUGGUUAGAGCGCACCCCUGAUAAGGGUGAGGUCCCUGGUUCAAGUCCAGGAUGGCCCAUAUCUCUAUGUUGGGGGUAUAGCUCAGUUGGUAGAGCGCCUGCUUUGCAAGCAGGAUGUCAGCGGUUCGAGUCCGCUUACCUCCACUGAUUACCACCUCUUCCAUAAUUUUUAGAAGGGAAAUGUUUUGAGUUGUGAUCUAAUUCUGAACGAAUCUAGCUUCCUAAUGAAAUUAUUAAGAUGCUGGACUCAUUGAAUUAAUUUCAUUGUUUUCAGAGAACCUUGACAACUGCAUAGAUUAUUUUUAAAGACAAUAAGCAUCUUUAAUGAUGCAGAUUUAUUAUUUGUGCGAAUGCAUUAAUAACAAUUCUAUUAAGCUGAUGCUUCAAUUUUGAAGUUAUUGGUCAAGCUACAAAGGGCUCACGGAGGAUACCUAGGCACACAGA